UAACAUUUUUCGACAGAAACACGAUUUAUCAUAAUAAAUUGUUCCUACUUGAGCUGUUCUUCCAUCAGAAUCUUGGUCAAAGAAUCCUUUCUUGGGUCUAAUCGUCUUUUGGUCGAAAGCUGUCCUCUUGCCAUGUAGAAAUGCACAUUGCGUUCGGCAUGAACUGGAACGGUGCCCAGAGAUUCACAGUAUCUCAGAAAUAAAUGUCCCAAAAUCGCACUAAACGGAUAUAAAUUGCUAUAAAACGCUUUAAAUUAACUACCUUAUGAUGUUUUUAACUCCUAUAAUGAGUAGAAACAUGACCUGAGAAAUAUAACUGGCUACACUAAUGCUUGGAAAAACAGUAGGUCGGUGUCCUCCGCGCGCCUUACGCACCUAGAAAAGAGUUCCUACCUACACGUGUUUUUGUUUUAUAGGGGCUGUGAUUGGGCAAUCGAUACCAUUCAAAGCGUCAUCACGUAAAGGCAUCCAGGGGAAGACGUAAGCAGUGUCCGUAUACUCAUAGCAAUAACAGUGGCCUUAAAACUGACUCCAGAACAGGGGCCAAAAUGUGUGAAAUCUGACUCCAUGUCAGGGAAAUUGCUGUAGAAUGAGUUCUGUUCCACUCAGAGACAAAAUUUCAACGGCUAUAGAAACUAUAGACUGUUUUCUAUCCAAUAAUAAUAAUAAUAUGCAUAUUGUACGAUCAAGAAUUUUGUAGGAAGCCGUUUCAAAAAUUACACGAUUUCCAUAAAUAGUGACAACAGCACCCCCUAGCCUUAACAGGUUAAAUUACGAGCCUAGUUGGUUUAGCCACAGAAAAAGUCAGCAACCUUCCCGCUAGCCAUGAUUGGCUGAGAUAAUGAGUGGGCUGGACAUGCGGAGAGAUGAGUUUGUUGUGAUGGACUACUUUCUGGAGGACGAUCGUGCCAUGCUGAAUCUCUCUGAAAAUGAAUCAGUCUGCCGUGAAGCUUUCAUCCAUGUAUACGGGUAAAAAUCUAACAUUGAACCUGUUUGGUUAACUUUAUUUAGCUAUGAGAAUCGGUUUAUAUUGCUAGUUAAAGCUUGCUGUUAGCUAGCCAGCAGGAGUUUGAUGGCUGGCUUGCUAACGUUACUCUAUGGUUUGGGAUUUUAGUUAAUUUUUUAGCUAGCAAGCUAGCGAACAUUUAAUGUUACAUGUCUAAACAAAAAACACCAAGUUAAAGCUUGCUGUUAGCUAGCUAACGUUAGCGAAGGUUAGAUGGCUGGCUUGCUAGCUAACAUUGUACCUGUUUAGUUAACUUUAGCUUGCUAUGACAAUCAGUUUGUAUUGCUAGCUAAAGCUUGCUGUUAGCUAGCCAGCUGGAGUUUGAUGGCCGGCUUGCUAACGUUACUCUAUGGUUUUUGGAUUUUAGUAAAUUUUUUAGCUAGCUAGCUAACUAACAUUAAUGUUACAUGCCUAAACAAAAAACACCAAGUUAAAGCUUUCUGUUAGCUAGGUAACAUUAGCGGAGGUUAGGUGGCUGGCUUGCUAGCUAACAUUGAACCUGUUUAGUUACUUUACCUAGCUAUGACAAUCGGAUUGCAUUGCUAGUUAAAGCUUGCUGUUAGCUAGUCAGCUGGAGUUCGAUGGCUGGCUUUCUAACGUUACUCUAUGGAUUGGGAUUUUAGUUAAUUUUUUAGCUAGCUAGCUAACGUUAACGUUACAUGUCUAAACAACAGACCAUAGAUAGAUAGAUAGAUAUACACUCCAAAAAAUAUAUAUAUAAAAAAUAUAUAUUUUUGGGAGGCAUACCCAAUCUGUGUAAAGACAGAUUGACAGGGGUGAGAUAAUUAAUUGUAAUUUAUCUUAAUGUUCUUUUGUUGUUUGCAGGUGCACUAUCCUUCUGACCAUAUGCAGCCAGGUCCCAUCUACUUUUUAACUCCUCGCAAGUGUGGCUUGUUUGGUUUCUGCUGUGAAAGAAUACCAUAACAAUUCAACUACUUGAUUGAUGAAGGCAUGUCAUCCAGCAAAGGCAACAGUGCAGUCAUCAACUACAUGCACCAUUUCUUCACCAACUAUGGAGUGUGUGCUCUGGUAUUGUGCCUGGCGAACCCUGCACAAGCUGCACCACAGUCUGGACCUUCACUUCCUGAUCACAGGCCACACCAAAUUUGCCCUCAACUGGUGCUUCGGCCUCAUAAAGCAGCGCUUCAGAAAGACCAGAGUGAACACUUUGUCUGAGAUUGCUGGUGUUUUGAAGGACAGCACUGUGACAGGGGUCAACAUCCCACAGCUGGUUGGACUGGAGGAUGGUACGGUGCUGACGUAACGGUGCUGAUGGAACGGUGCUGAUGGAACGGUGCUGAUGGAACGCUAUGGCUGGCAACAACACCUGACUCUGUACUUCAGGCCGCUGCCACAGAUCAAGCUGUACCAGCACUUCAGCUUCGAUGCACUGGAGCAGGGUGUUGUUGUUGCCAAGGAGUGUUCGGAAUCAGUCAGGACCAGGUUUCAGCUGCUGCGCAAUGCUUACAUCCUUCCUCCCAUAGAUGGUCUGCCUGUACAAGCACCACCUGGACUGGACACAGCUAGACUAACUUAUCUUUUUGAGAAGAUCAGGGAGUUUUGCUAUGGACAUCACAUGCCCUGCACCAAAGUCAAGGGCAGGACAGAAACAGGCUUUCCAAAUAUAGAUUCCCUUCUUCAUGCGUAGUUCGGACGGACCAGUCAUCAGCACUAUCUGCAGUGCCUCUAUUCAAAUGACUCUCUCCUUACACACACGCCAUACGUUGCUGCUACAAAAUAGAAAUAUCCUGCUGCUCAGACACUUUACCCUUGAUUGUAUGCAUACAACUACCUCGUUUAUCACUAUCGUUAUUGAUAUUGUUCGUGUACAUACUGUAUAAUAUUUUAUUUAUAUUGACACUAUCUAUUCUGAUAUUGCUACUACUAUGCAAGUUACCAUUUGGCUGUACCGUUACACCUUCUGUAGAGACCAUCCACUUAGCAAGACUUAGCAAAAUAUUGAUAUAUAAAAUUAAUAUUGAUAUGUGUGGUCGUAAUAUAGUUUGGGACAGAGCACACAGACUCACUAAACACAAAUGCUUCGUUUGUAAAUUAUGUCUGAGUGUUGGAGCGUGCCCCUGGCUAUCUGUCAAUAAAAAAAAAUUGGGCCAUCCAGUUAAAAAAAUUAGAAAUGAUUUGUACUUUUACUUUUGAUAGUUCAGUACAUUUUAGCAAUUCCAUAUACUUUUACUUUUGAUACUUAAGUACAUUUUAGCAAUUCCAUUUUCUUUGAUACUUAAGUAUUUUUUUAAACCAAAUACUUUUAGACUUUUACUCAAGUAGUAUUUUACUCGGUGACUUUUACUUUAGUCAUUUUCUAUUAAAGUAUCUUUACAUCCGGA